GGGCCUAUAGCUCAGCUGGUUUAGAGCAUCUGCCUUACAAGCAGAGGGUCAUAGGUUCGAAUCCUAUUGGGCCCACCU
rnacentral:tRNA from 18 species